rnacentral:lncRNA from 1 species
GGAAAUGGCACAAGUUGACACGCCAUGCUGUGCACAGGAAGGAUUGAUUUCAGAAAACCUCCAUGCUGAAGAAGAUAAUGAGCCCAGUCCCAGGAGGAGUUCAGGUCUUCAAAGAUUCUGGUUCCCAGACCCUGAAACUGCCUGCCAAGAAAGAAUCGCACAUCUAUCUGAGUAAUCUCUAUUUUUAUCCUGAAAAACGGAGAAAAGAAUUUCCUAAACCACUGGGAUGAGCUGCUGUUUACUAUUACCUCCAGAAUGAGGACCACUGUGUUCGUGAAGAACCGCUCUUCCUACACUGAGGUUUGGAGUUUCACCCACAGGGACCUCUGGAAAUGGCUGUAGAAGGCUUCCUGCUGGACAGAUGGCUGAGAAGCUGUUGAGGAACCGGAGACUUCUGUGUGAGAACUCGGAGGAACAUGUCACUCGGUCUCCGAACAAGGAAAGGGGAGCUAUUGCUGAGGAACUGGUUUUCUUUUCUCUUUCAUACAUUGUCAGUUUCAUAACUUUCACAUUUUCGUUUUUGCUUUGAACCAUGGGAAGCUCAGAGUCGAAUUCAUAUCCUACUUGUGGUAAUUUUAUAAGAUCAGUAUAAAUCACUGACUACUAACUUUCCUUCUACAUUAAUCUCCUUUCUUCUACUUCUUUAUUUUCUCCUUACUCCUGAUUUCUUUAUCAAAUUAAAAAAAAAUCUGAUUGAGUGGGUUUUCUAAGUCUUCUUAAAAAAUAGUGCUAUGCAGUAUGUAUUCAGCGUCCCCUUCCCCACCGCCUUCCCCCUCGUGUGUGGGGUGUCAGGGACUAUGCUUCUGGGGUACUUUUGGAGUAGGGAGAGCGAGGGCUCUCCUAGACUCUCGAUUCAGCCAGUUUGGGUGGACCCAGGUGCCCCUCCCUCUGCAGUGUGACUGCCGCAGCGAUCAGUCAGCUAUUGAUGGGUAACUUAGCCCCACAGAGAUGCAAACACCUUUGCCCAGGCAUGGAGAUCUGCUCAAGGGAAGACGAGGAAUGGGCCGCACCUGUGGGCGUCAUUUUUCUCCACUGCCCCCUAGUACUCAACAUCCUAGUACCCCUAGCACUCAACAUCCCCCUAGUGCUGGCAGCCUUUCACUUGGACCCCUCUGCCCCACAGCCGGGCCUGCAUCUCCAGCCUCCUUUUGUGCCAUCCCCCAGCCCCUGGUGGAGGAGCAGAAGAUGCCCAUGGGAGAGAUGUCACCUGUCCACCCCUCUCUUUCAAAUUCGCUCUCCUAGAGCCUUGCCUAUGGAUUGUCAAGAGCAUCAUUUAGAAGAAAGGGAAAAAGCUCUAACUGAAUAUUAACUUUUUCUCUUUAUAUUUCUGCUGAGAAAAUCAUAAUUCUCCUGGGCAAUGUGUGGGCCUCUGACUGAGAGGGAAGCUAAAUAGAGGAAGAAAAGCAUAGUAACUGAUUUAUCUAGGUUUAUACGGGUG